rnacentral:rRNA from 1 species
UACAGAGGUCCCAAGCGUUGUUCGGAUUCACUGGGCGUAAAGGGUGCGUAGGCGGCGCGGUAAGUCGGGUGUGAAAUCUCGGAGCUUAACUCCGAAACUGCAUUCGAUACUGCCGUGCUUGAGGACUGGAGAGGAGACUGGAAUUUACGGUGUAGCGGUGAAAUGCGUAGAUAUCGUAAGGAAGACCAGUGGCGAAGGCGGGUCUCUGGACAGUUCCUGACACUGAGGCACGAAGGUCAGGGGAGCAAACGGG